CAGGAGGCAAUUCUCUCUCAACAUUAAUGUUUCUCUCUCUCCCUCUCUGAAAUCAAUAAAAUAAAAUAAAAAUUUAAAUUACAUUGCCCAAGUGGCUUUCAAAAAAAUGUUGCAGUUUAUGCCAUCACUGGCAAUUUAUGAGAAUGUUCUUAUAACCUUGCCCUCAUCAGCACUGAGUUUUAUCUCUUUUUUUUAAAUUCUAGAUAUUUUUAGUAAGACAUCACAAUUUGGUUGUAAUUUGUAUGUCUUUUGACUGGCAAGACUGAACUCUUAAUAUGUUCACUAGCCUCUUAUAUUAAAUGAUCAAUUAAUAUUACCCCUAACCCAGAAAUACAACUUUGUGUUUUAAGCCACUCAGGAUGUGGGGAUUGUCUGUUAGUGUGACAUAAUCCAGAGUACCCUAUCUUCACACAUCCUUGCCCAUUUUUCUAUUGGGGAACAUGAUACUGCUCACUGUUACCCCAAAUCCUUUCUCCACUUUAGUAAUAAGCCCCAAUUUAAAGUAGGGACAUUCUGGGACUCUUAAAGCUACAUAAAUGAGGCAGGUACUGAUCAACAAAAUGCAGCGAAGGGUAUUUUUACCUUCCCCUCUGUUGAUCCUCCUGCCAGGAACAUGGAUGUGAUGUAUGCUUUGACAGCCAUGGGAUAGGAAAGCCAAGACCACCCUGGGAAUGGCAGAGUGGUUCAAGUGCAGAACCUGGUCACUGGUGACUACAUGAAACCACCACCUGCCCUGGACUGCUCGUCAUUUCCAGACUUCAUUCACAACACACAAAAGUAACCCAUCUUGCUGAACUCGCCCCUUUCUGUUGUGUACACCCAUACUACCGAGGGGAAGCUGGGCAGGGUAGCUGUAUUGUUACAGAUUUAUGAGGUCACUAUAUUAGCAGCUUGUUAGGCAGGUUUAAGACAGAUCUUCCCAGUUUAUAUAAUUGUUUUCAAUGUUUCUUAUGAUGUUUCCUGAUCUAAGGCUUUCAAGUUUUUCAGUACUGGUCUGUUUUUUUCCUUUGUUUCUCUAUUUUCCUUUUAGUAAGCCUUCAUUUAACUUUUUUUUU